rnacentral:rRNA from 1 species
UACGGAGGGUGCGAGCGUUGUCCGGAAUCACUGGGCGUAAAGGGCGCGUAGGCGGCCUGAUAAGUAGGGGGUGAAAUCUUGCGGCUUAACCGCAAGGCCGCCUUCUAAACUGUCAGGCUAGAGCACAGUAGAGGCAGGUGGAAUUCCCGGUGUAGCGGUGGAAUGCGUAGAGAUCGGGAAGAACAUCAGUGGCGAAGGCGGCCUGCUGGGCUGUUGCUGACACUGAUGCGCGACAGCGUGGGGAGCAAACAGG